rnacentral:rRNA from 1 species
UGAGGAAUAUUGGUCAAUGGUCGCAAGACUGAACCAGCCAUGCCGCGUGCAGGAUGACGGUCCUAUGGAUUGUAAACUGCUUUUGUACGGGAAGAAACACUCCUACGUGUAGGGGCUUGACUGUACCGUAAGAAUAAGGAUCGGCUAACUCCGUGCCAGCAGCCGCGGUAAUACGGAGGAUCCGAGCGGUAUCCGGAAUCAUUGGGUUUUAAAGGUCCGUAGGCGGCCCUGUAAGUCAGCGGUGAAAUCUCCCGGCUCAACCGGGAAACUUCCGUUGUUACUGCAGGGAUUUAAUUGCCGGGAAGGAAAUAGAAUAUGUAGUGUAACGGUGAAAUUCUUAGAUAUUACAUGGAAUACCGAUUGCGGAGGCAGGUUAC